AAACCAUGAGUCGGAAACUUGUGUAGAUAUUCUUUAAAUCUCUCCCAAGCUUCGUAUAAUUGUUCCCCUGAUCACUGCUUGAAUUUAUAGAUUUCGUCAUGGAUCU